rfam:Brachypodium distachyon strain Bd21 chromosome 1, whole genome shotgun sequence.
UAUAUACUCCCUCCGUCCAACAAAACAUGUCUCAAGUUGGUCAAAAUUUGGAUGUAUCUAGACAUGACUUAGUGUAUAGAUGCAUUCAAAUUUAAUUGAAGUUGAGACAUCUUUUAUUGGAAGGAAGGAGUACUAC